UUUGUCUACACAUGCCACAGACUAAAGCCUAAUAUCUCUUAGAGUAGUCUAGGAGAGUGUACCCCACCUCACAAAGGUGGAAUGGUCUCACUCCAUCAGACUUAUCUCCAAGAGUAGUUAAACAAAAGGAUAGUCAUGAUUACACAUGCUGUAGACUACGAUUGCUUACCGUAGUAAAAAAUAAAAUAUAAUAUCCAAACAUG
rnacentral:lncRNA from 1 species